rnacentral:pre_miRNA from 1 species
AUCUGCGUAGGAUCUGAGGAGUGGAUGAGUCUCAUUCCCCAGCUCCUGAGCAGGA